UACGUAGGGUGCAAGCGUUAAUCGGAAUUACUGGGCGUAAAGCGUGCGCAGGCGGUUCUUUAAGUCAGAUGUGAAAUCCCCGGGCUCAACCUGGGAACUGCAUUUGUGACUGUAGAGCUGGAGUACGGUAGAGGGGGAUGGAAUUCCGCGUGUAGCAGUGAAAUGCGUAGAUAUGCGGAGGAACACCGAUGGCGAAGGCAGCUUACUAGACUGUAACUGACGCUGAUGCACGAAAGUGUGGGGAUCAAACAGG
rnacentral:rRNA from 1 species